AGUGAACGCUGGCGGUAGGCCUAACACAUGCAAGUCGAACGGCAGCACAGUAAGAGCUUGCUCUUACGGGAGGCGAGUGGCGGACGGGGGAGGAAUACAUCGGAAUCUACUUUUUAGUGGGGGAUAACGUAGGGAAACUUCCGCUAAUACCGCAUACGACCUACGGGUGAAAGCAGGGGAUCUUCGGACCUUGCGCGAUUGAAUGAGCCGAUGUCGGAUUAGCUAGUUGGCGGGGUAAAGGCCCACCUAGGCGACGAUCCGUAGCUGGUCUGAGAGGAUGAUCAGCCACACUGGAACUGAGACACGUUCCAGACUCCUACAGGAGGCAGCAGUGGGGAAUAUUGGACGAUGGACGCAAGCCUGAUCCAGCCAUACCGCGUGGAUGAAGAAGGCCUUCGGGUUGUAAAGCCCUUUUGUUGGGAAAGAAAAGCAGCAGGUUAAUACCCCGCUGUUCUGACGGUACCCACAGAAUAAGCACCGGCUAACUUCGUG
rnacentral:rRNA from 1 species